rnacentral:rRNA from 1 species
AGUGAACGCUGGCGGUAGGCCUAACACAUGCAAGUCGAACGGCAGCACAGUAAGAGCUUGCUCUUACGGGUGGCGAGUGGCGGACGGGUGAGGAAUACAUCGGAAUCUACUUUUUCGUGGGGGAUAACGUAGGGAAACUUACGCUAAUACCGCAUACGACCUACGGGUGAAAGCAGGGGAUCUUCGGACCUUGCGCGAUUGAAUGAGCCGAUGUCGGAUUAGCUAGUUGGAGGGGUAAAGGCCCACCAAGGCAACGAUCCGUAGCUGGUCUGAGAGGAUGAGGGGCGGCACGGGAAAUGGAAGGCGGUCCAGACUCCUGCGGGAGGAACCAUGCGGGAUUAGUGAGCAAUGCGCGCAAGUGUGAUGGAGCAAUGGUGGGGGAGGGAUGAAGUUCUUCGGAUCCUAAAACUUUCUUAUUAGGAAAGAACAAAUGUGUAAGUAUAUAUGCACGUCUUGACGGUACCUAAUCAGAAAACAACGGCUAACUACGUG